GGGGCCGUAGCUCAGUGGUUAGAGCAGGGGACUCAUAAUCCCUCGGUCGAAGGUUCGAUCCCUUCCGGCCCCACCA
rnacentral:tRNA from 2 species